GGAGGGGACCCCCGCGGGCUCCUGGCGGAAGAGACGAAGGGAGGUCCCCGGCCCUGCGCGGGCCCGCUGACCGAGGCUGGGCGAUUCACUCGCAGAAGAACUUUGCAAAGAAAAGUUCACGCACAACGACCUGGCAGGAGAGGAGUCCCCCGCCCAGCCCCAACUCCCGAGACGCGACCCGAAGGCACCUGCUGCAGGCCCACGGUGGGGGGGCGGGGAAACACACACAGCCCACCCCUGCAGAAGCCGGCAUGGGCAGGUGCCCCCCCAAUCCCCCUGCAGACCCGAGUAUGGACUGCGGCUCGGUGGGGAAAGACUCCCAAUCCCCCUGCGGACCCCAGCAUGGGCAGGUCUCCCCCAGCCCCCCUUCGGACCCCAGAUGGGCAGGUCCCCCCCAGCCCCCCUGCAGACCCCAGCAUGGGCAGGUUCCCCCCAGCCCCCCUGCGGACCCCAGCAUGGGCACAUGCUGCCCUCCCCUCCUUUUCUUCUGUCUAGAUGUCUCCCCCCCCACCUCUCUGAGGAAUGUGUUUGUAUAUGUGUGUUCACGUAGGUGUGUGUACGGACUGAGACUCUGCACUCCCUCCUCUACCUUACAAAACUUCAUUGCACCCAGUGCCACACAUAUGCCCUACACAUAUACACACACAUACACACACACACACAUACAUACACUACUCAUACACACACAUACACACUACACAUACAUUCAUAUACACACAUACACACUACACAUACAUUCAUAUACACACAUACAUAUGCCACACCCACACAUACAUCCACCACAUAUACACUACAUAUACACAUACAUAUGCAUAUACUUAAACACACAUACACACACUACACACACACAUACAUACAUACAUCCACCACACAACACACACACAUACAUACAUCACACAUACAUAUGUACAUACACAUGCACACACACCACACAGACAUACCACACACAUACUAUACAAACAUGCAUACACACAUUUACCCAUACACACAUACCUACACCUACAUGAAUACAUGUACACGAACACACACACACAUACUGCAUAGAGAGGAACAGGAGCUUCAUGAAGACAGAGGCCUAGUUUUUUCCACUGCUUUCUCUUCACUUUCUAAAAAGUGGUUCCAUGUGCUGAAAUAAUUAAUGGCCUUUCUUCCCCUGACUGCUGGGAGCCUGCAACCACACAGGCCUCUCGUGUCCUCAGCCCUGCAUGCUUGGUGCUCACCAGCGCCGAACAGGAGGUUAAGGGGACACCCCUUGUUCCAACCCUGAGCCUUCACGUCUAGCACUGGCCCUGGGUGGCGUCUGCAGUGGGUGCUGUGGGUGCCAUCCACACCCCUGCUUUACGACAGAGACCAUGCUUUCCCUUGGGGCCACUCUGGAAGCCCCCUGGCUCCUGUGUUAUACAGAGGACAGGAGAGUCCUCUGUGGCAGCCCAGCCACAGAGCCGCUUCUCUGUCACCCCUCCACCCUCAGGCCUUCGGAUAAGCUCAACACACAUCUCCGCUUUGCCGGCAGUGAAUCUCCAGGCUGCAGCGGUGGCAGCUGGGACGGGAGCCCCUUGGAAGGAAAUGCAGUGGCAGAUCUCGAGUACUGGAGAGUUCAGAAAGUCACAGACCCAUGGACUAUGGAAUCAGGUGGCUCCUGCUGAGGGCAAGAUAAUGAGAAGAUCACCACCUAAAACAAAAGGGUGGCACAUUAACCAGCCUCGUCGGUGGCACGUAAGACACUCAUCUCCUGUGGCCAGAGGAGAACCCAAAAACUGGAUCAGAGCCAGGACUUAACCAAAGGCAGAGCUUCGGAGAAUGCCAGGUGCUCAGCCUCAAAAGGUGCUGUUUCAGAGCCGCAUGCUCAGUUUCGGAAGGUGCUAUUGCAGGGCCGGGUGCUCUGCCUCGGAAGGCGCUGUUCUAGGGCCUGGUGCUCAACCUGGGAAGGUGCUGUUCCAAGGUCUGGACCCUGGCUAGGAAGAAGGGAGGCCCUGAGGCUUGGGAUGGGGUCAUCUGAAUGAACUCACUCAAAAAUCUUGAAUCCCAGAUUCCUGUAAAUCUGCUAGGCGGAAGCGGUGUCACAUUUCUCCCUCUUAAGGGAAAAUGCUGUUUGUGUGCUUGAAGAUGCUGCAGAGACCUCUGCAACAUGGCACAAACAUCCCUGCCACCACCUCCAGCUCAGCUCUCCCAGGUCAGCAUCACCAAGCUGGAGAAGUGCUGUGGCUGAAAAUGGAGGAAGAGACACUCAGCCAAGGAGCUUCAGAACCAAUAGAGAGGAAAGAAGCAGCCUAGACCACCAAGUCACCAAGCAGAUGGCUGACGUCCUGGAGGGCAGCCGGGUCUGCAAGUGUCACAGACGAGAGCCGUCCUGGAGGGCGGCUGGGUCUGCAGGUGUCACAGACGUCACGGUUGGCAGCCAUCCUCGAGGGCAGCUGGGUCUGCCAGUGUCUUUGUAGGACACCCUGACGUAAGUGGUUAACUCGGCUUCAAAUCUUUGCCCGAGUUUGAAAGGAGAGGAUGCCUGGUCAGCAUGAUUUGGGAUGGGAAUUUACUGUCAAGGCCCUAUUCUGACACUGCAGCUCCCACAGCAGAGCCUCCAAGGGAGCACAGACGGCCUGGAGCUGCGGUGCGUCCUGCAUCUGACCCAAGGAGACCCAGCAGAGAAUGCAGCAAAAGCCUCAUGCUGCUCUUGAUGGCAGGGAUUCCAUCAACAGCCACUAAGAGCUGCCCCUUUUGUGAAACAGUAGAUUGAGAGACCCUACAUAAUAAAAAAACAUUAAA